rnacentral:rRNA from 1 species
UACGUAGGGGGCAAGCGUUAUCCGGAAUUACUGGGUGUAAAGGGAGCGUAGACGGUGAUGUAAGUCUGGAGUGAAAGGCGGGGGCCCAACCCCCGGACUGCUCUGGAAACUAUGUUACUAGAGUGCAGGAGAGGUAAGCGGAAUUCCUAGUGUAGCGGUGAAAUGCGUAGAUAUUAGGAGGAACACCAGUGGCGAAGGCGGCUUACUGGACUGUAACUGACGUUGAGGCUCGAAAGCGUGGGGAGCAAACAGG